CCGAAUGGGGAAACCCAACUCUUUAGAGUUAUUUAUUAAUGAAUACAUAGUUAAUAAAAGUUAACCUAGUGAAUUGAAAUAUCUUAGUAGCUAGAGGAAAAGAAAUCUAUUCCGUUAGUAGUGACGAGCGAACGCGGACCAGGCCAGUAACAAAUUUAUAAUAACUAGAACUUUCUGGAAAGUAAGACCAUAGUGGGUGAUAGUCCCUUAUAGGUAAAAAGUAAAUUUGUUCUCGAGUAGGGCGGAACACGUGAAAUUUUGUCUGAAAAUGGGGAGACCACUUCCCAAGCCUAAAUACUCCUUAA
rnacentral:rRNA from 1 species